rnacentral:rRNA from 1 species
AUGAACGCUGGCGGCGUGCCUAAUACAUGCAAGUCGAGCGGACAGACGGGGAGCUUGCUCCUCUGACGUUAGCGGCGGACGGGUGAGUAACACGUGGAUAACCUACCUAUAAGACUGGGAUAACUUCGGGAAACCGGAGCUAAUACCGGAUAAUAUAUUGAACCGCAUGGUUCAAUAGUGAAAGACGGUUUUGCUGUCACUUAUAGAUGGAUCCGCGCCGCAUUAGCUAGUUGGUAAGGUAACGGCUUACCAAGGCGACGAUGCGUAGCCGACCUGAGAGGGUGAUCGGCCACACUGGAACUGAGACACGGUCCAGACUCCUACGGGAGGCAGCAGUAGGGAAUCUUCCGCAAUGGGCGAAAGCCUGACGGAGCAACGCCGCGUGAGUGAUGAAGGUCUUCGGAUCGUAAAACUCUGUUAUUAGGGAAGAACAAAUGUGUAAGUAACUAUGCACGUCUUGACGGUACCUAAUCAGAAAGCCACGGCUAACUACGUG